rnacentral:rRNA from 1 species
CUAAGGUAGCAUAAUCAUUUGUUAUUUAAUUGGUAACUGGAAUGAAAGGUUAAACUAGCUUAUUAAGUUUGUGUAACUAAAUAGAAAUUUAAAGUUAAGGUAAGAAUUCUUUAAUUUUCUAGGGGACGAUAAGACCCUAGAAGCUUAACGAGCAGGUGUUUUGGUUGUACAAGCUAGUUUGUUUUACUGGGGCGGUAAAAAUAAGUAAGCUAUUUAUUGUUUAAAGGAUCCUAAAUAUAAAGAAAAAAUGGAGUAGUUACUCUAGGGAUAA